UACGUAGGGGGCAAGCGUUGUCCGGAAUUAUUGGGCGUAAAGGGUGCGUAGGCGGCCUUUUAAGUCAGAUGUGAAAGCCCACGGCUUAACCGUGGGAUUGCAUUUGAAACUGGAGGGCUUGAGUAUCGGAGAGGGUAGUGGAAUUCCCAGUGUAGCGGUGAAAUGCGUAGAUAUUGGGAGGAACACCAGUGGCGAAGGCGACUACCUGGACGAAAACUGACGCUGAUGCACGAAAGCUAGGGGAGCAAACAGGAUUAGAUACCCUGGUAGUCCUAGCCGUAAACGAUGGGUACUAGGUGUAGGGGGGUUUCGAUACCCUCUGUGCCGGAGUUAACGCAUUAAGUAUCCCACCUGGAGAGUACGAUCGCAAGGUUGAA
rnacentral:rRNA from 1 species